rnacentral:lncRNA from 1 species
CCAAGAACAUAUAUCCAAAUACUCUCAAAAAUAAGAGUAUGGUUAUCGUACAGUGUUGUUCCCUGGUAUGUAAAAAAGGUCAAAGAUAUGUCACAAGAUGGAUUGGUAGAUCAGUGGAUAAGUGGGUGGCGGAACUGGUGUGAUCAGACGCACCUUCAGAGAGUUAGCUAAUCAUACAGGUAGCUGGGAAUUGGCUGUCAUUUCCUUCAAAAGCCCCGUUCUGUGUUGUUUGUCUGCUGGGAGUUGAGCGCAGAAUGUCUCUCCGUUGGGAUUGGGCCCCUAUAUAAGUUUCCAUGUCUUGGGUGUUUGCUGUGAUUGCACUGGACCAUUGUCUGCAGGAUGAGAAGUCUUACUGACGAAUUUGAGUGAGGAACGACGACGAACUGGGGCUGCGGAGCUGAGUGGUGAUCCGAGAGCAAAGGACCGAGAGGGGCAUUGGUACAAUGCACAUCUAGGAGCUUUAGCUCCGCCAAGUUUCCCUGGCGUCUGUCUCCCGCUUGUUCAGCACCGGAGGCGGGGCCAUCGGUGACGUCGCCGAGCAGAGUCUCAGACAGGGCGCGUUCCAGGACAGGGAGCUGUGCGGAUCUGGAUAUCUCCAGACAAAGACAUGUAUUUUAUUUUUGUGGGGAUAUGGUUCUCGUUGGGCCCUAGAAAUCAAUAACCAGGGGCCUCCUCCUACUACCAAUUGGAUACCACGAAAUUGGGGAGAAAAAAGGGGUAAAAAGAAAUCAAUAACCUAUCCCCAGCCACUUUAUAUGUUGUCGGUCUUUUUCCCUGCCUGUUUUGUCACAUAGCAGUAGAGGGUCCUUUAGAGGGGUUGGCGGAGUAGAGCACGGCCAAGGGUUGGUCCCAUAUUGUGUGCAGCACUAGAGUGAAAUUGUAGUGCCUUUCACGUUAUUGUUUGCAAUGCCUUCCCUUCAAAUAACUAUUGUUGCUGUGCCAUAUCAGAAUAAUUCAGUGUGAGUGAGAUUUGUUGUGCUUUUUACCAUAUUGUUGCAGUGCUGUAUCAGAAUAAUUCUGUGUGUUGCAGGGUCACUUUCGCAUGGCUGAUACUUACCUGAGGGAUUAAGGGGGAGGGUAACCUACCUGAGGGGAAGCUCUGUCGACAAAGCCCGGGAAAUCGUACAGUCUGCUGUGGGGUAACGGGGUCUGAUCCAUGUUAUGUCCACAAAUUUAAAAUAAAACUUACCUUGAGCAUA